AGGACGAACGCUGGCGGCGUGCUUAACACAUGCAAGUCGAACGGUAAGGCCCCUUCGGGGUACACGAGUGGCGAACGGGUGAGUAACACGUGAGCAACCUGCCCUUGACUCUGGAAUAACAGCUGGAAACAGCUGCUAAUACCGGAUAUGACCUCAGACGACAUCGCUUGAGGUGGAAAGCUCCGGCGGUCAAGGAUGGGCUCGCGGCCUAUCAGCUAGUUGGUGAGGUAACGGCUCACCAAGGCUUCGACGGGUA
rnacentral:rRNA from 1 species